UUCAAAAGUGUGUAUGAGGGUUCAACAUUAGCACCAUAUACCAGCCAAAUGCUGAGUAUAUUAUUCAAGUGGCUGGUAUAUUUGCUUCAUUUACCUGCC